UCUGCUUCUCUUGAUGAAUUCUUUGGAUCCUGGUCAAGCACAAGUUUUUCCUUGAGCUGUGAGGAAGAGGAGCAGAGGAAGGAAAAAGAGGAAGAGAUGACUGGAUGGAGUGUGAUGAAGAAGACGGUGGAUGGAGAGGUGCAUGAAUGUCCGUCGCCCUGCUCCAGCCUUACUGCCUACCCUUUCACAGACAGCGG